AUUGAACGCUGGCGGCAUGCUUUACACAUGCAAGUCGAACGGCAGCGCGGGCUUCGGCCUGGCGGCGAGUGGCGAACGGGUGGGUAAUACAUCGGAACGUGCCCAGUAGUGGGGGAUAGCUCGGCGAAAGCCGGAUAAAUACCGCAUAAGAGCAGAGGGUGAAAGCGGGGGAGCUUCGGACCUUGCGCUCUUGGAGCGGCCGAUGGCGGAUUAGCUAGUUGGUGGGGUAAAGGCCUACCAAGGCGACGAUCUGUAGCUGGUCUGAGAGGACGACCAGCCACACUGGGACUGAGACACGGCCCAGACUCCUACGGGAGGCAGCAGUGGGGAAUUUUGGACAAUGGGCGAAAGCCUGAUCCAGCAAUGCCGCGUGUGUGAUGAAGGCCUUCGGGUUGUAAAGCACUUUUGGCGGGAACGAAAAGGACUGUGCCAAUACCACGGUUCGAUGACGGUACCCGCAGAAUAAGCACCGGCUAACUACGUG
rnacentral:rRNA from 1 species